rnacentral:tRNA from 1 species
UUAGCAUAGUUUAAUCAAAACAUUAGAAUGUGGACCUAAAAAUAGAAGCUUAACCCUUCUUGCAAAC